rnacentral:sRNA from 1 species
UUGAUGAUUGUAUUUUAGUGUUAGUGUCU